AUUAUGUAAACAUUUUUAAAACCUUUAUAUAUGUAUGGUGGUGUGUACUUUCCUUUCUAUGAACUGUUAUGAUACUGAAUAUGACGUCCUCCGCCCCCGAACGUUUCCGCCGUUCUGGUUUGGGGGUGUGACAGAUUGGUAUCAGAGCAUUGUUUAUAGUGAAUUAAGUAUAUCAAAACCAUUUUGGUAUACAACUAUAAACACAACUGGGCAAAAACACUCUGAGUAAGAGUCAUACUUUUAAAAUUAAAUUUAUUUAAUUUUUGAAAAGUGGGCAUGCAUGCAUUUCAUAUUAAUAACAGGGUCAGUAUCAUAAUUAAAACAAUAUAGAAGUAUUAAAAAUAAGUUGUGCAGUACAGGUAUGCCUUGGGACAUGUAAUCGGAACUGGGAAGAAUAUAGCCUGAUCAACUAUAUUUGUGCAAGAGCCGACUAACGUAUGCCAAGGAGUGUCUGCAAUGGACAACAAAUUUAAAACUUACCAAAAGCAUAUCGUAAAAUAAUACUAACGGAGUAUUCGAGUGCCUUCAACCAUUAAACUUAAGAGUAAACUCCAUGUGCUUUAGCUUAUAGUCAAUUCUUAACCCUAUUCUCGUAUAGACUCAAAUGGCUGGAUUCCAUCACCCCGGUGACCCAUACUACCCCAACCAAGGUAAUGGAGAAAGGAUAGAGAAUGAUCUUGAUGAAGGAAUGCAAGAAGAAUCAGACUCAGAUCCCGAGGACAAUAACCUACCCUUAACGGCUCCAAUUCAAAAUCCUAAUCCUCGACCGUAAUUUCAUGGCUCGACGACCCUUUGGGCAACUAACCUGAAUAGGUGGAGCCGCGAACAAGAUCAACCCCUUCCAUUCAACGGAGACCGAAGCUUCUACAAUCUAAGCGAGGGAGGCUCAGCAGACAGAGCCCUUCCUAUAUUGGUUCGUCGGAUUUCUCGCAUUGGCGAACAAGGACGGACGACCAUCCAUCGAACUGAGGAGAAUGAUGCGAACACUGGAGUCAACACAGUUCGCAUCCGACAGUUAGGAUUAGCUCAUGGGAGAAUCAUAAAUCGAAAUGAAGCGUUGCAGAGAGAGCAAAGGGUAACUCAAACCGAAGUGAUAGAACUUCGGGCACGCCAGGCAAGACAUGAACUACGUAUGCUCGAGAUGGAGCGUCAGUUGGCGGAAUCUAAGGCCAAUGUAGCCAGCUCGCGUAACAAAUAAUACCUGUCUGACUUCCGAAAUUUUGUCAUAGCAUAAGACCUCAGAUAAAGUCCUUACUUUUCUUAACCUUGUAAUCGGAGACCUUUAUAUAGGUCAAAUUUUCCUAACUACAAAAUGUAACGCACCAUGUUUUAUAAUAUAUAUGAUGUAUUUCCUUUAUUAAACCCUUUGCAUACCCCUCAAAUUCAUGAGUUUAUUUACUCUCCUUAUGAGUCGAACUCAGAACCCUAUUCAAGGGUUAACCAAACUUCUAACAAAUCACUAAUGGGCAACUUUCGAAUCAUUAAAACUUAUAACUUUUCUUGUUAUUUCCUUAUCAAAACAAUGUCUCCUCGUAGAUCAGCACGUAGAAACGCAACCCCACCCCACCUCCCCNUGACCCCAACAUAGUGCAAUCUGCUAUCACUGCGGCAGUAACAGCUCACUGUCUCAAGCAAACUUUAGCGGCACAGCAAGGGCCGGAAAUAAUCAACUUACUAACGCAACCCCAUUCCUACAAUUGGACACCGCCACUUUGCAAGCUACAGUUAUAGCCACAGUGGCAGCCAUCAUAGCAUAUAAUAACUCGGUCAACUCAAGCAGGGAAGGAAACUAUAUCAAAAAUCCUAAUCAAAGAAACAAUCGAAGCUACCUACCAGUAGCUACCUAUAAGAAUACCGCAAGGUGCGAACACAAGAACAUGAAACGAAAACCCUGGAGCGAGAAGGGAGGUAAACCAACUCAAAGAAAUGCCAAAAAGCAAUCAAAAAACCAUACACCUACACCCACAAGGUCGUACAAAGGCAACCAGCCUAAGUGCAACCGAUGCAACUUUCAUCAUCACGGCCCCUGCCGUGAAAUGCAUUGUUUUAGGUGCAAUAAAAAGGGACACACCGUCCGCUACUGCAGAGAACUAGCCCAACCAACGGCUCUAGCCACAAUGUGGGAGUAGACCGUGCUUGUUAUGAGUGCGGAGUAACGGGACCCCUCCGAAGGGACUGCCCGGAGUCAAACAUCAUGAAUGCUGGUGGAGGAGGCCGAGUAUUCGCAAUGGGCCAAGAGGUGGCUAUUGUAGACCCCACGGUUAUUCUGGGUACAUUUCUCCUCGAUAACUUAUUUGCAUACAUUCCAUUUGAUAGUAGGGACGCAGAGGAGUUUCGUGAAUCACAAGUUUAAAAAUCUACUCGAACAAACACCCCAAUCAUUCAAUAGAACUUUCAUAGUAGUAAUAAUAGAGAUAGACUAAAAAGCACUAAAAACACAUACGUAUAAUUCAUUAUCCCACUAACAUGCGUCUUACAAUGAGAAGUACCGACAAAGGAGUCGAGAGUUCCGAUGGUAGUACCAAACCGGGAAACCAACAAAUGGCAACAGUCAUAGACUUGCGAAGCCAUAAGACCGAAAGGAAGNNNNNNNNNNNNNNNNNNNNNNNNNNNNNNNNNNNNNNNNNNNNNNNNNNNNNNNNNNNNNNNNNNNNNNNNNCCACAUAACACUGGCUAAACACCUCACUCCCGCCACUAAGGCUAGCACUAGCCAGUCAUGCCACCAAUGCGAGGAGAUAAGGGCACCUCAAGAAGGAUUGCCCUAUCACAAAGAAUUCUGGCAUAGACGGUAGGAUUCUCAGGACCACAGUUGCAGGAGAACCUACUCCGAACCCACAUUAAUGUAAUUUAGGCGUUUCGUUGUAACAGACUUAUAAACCAUCCAAAACUAGUGCAACCAGAGCCUUGUCUUUUGCGGGAUCCCGUCGGUAUAGGGAUGCUCAUGCUGCGUAUACUUGCCUUUUGUAGUAUACCUUAUUCGCAGCAAUAGUCUUGUAGUAGUCUAAAGUACUGUAACUCUGUUGAUGGUUGCACGGUUAUGUUUUGUCUAUAAACGUCUUUUGUUCAAAUCUAAUGUCUUUAACUUUCCUUAUGAUUCUGACAUUAUCAUAUGACUUGAUUCAAUUUGAUUCUCACAAAAACAGCUUCAUACGUACAUCUCUUUCUUCGAAAUCACCUUUCCAGUGAAGCCGUCAUAUCAGAACACCAAUUACUCAUGAAUGGAGUACCUCAUAGUUCUUUUCCUUUCCGAAGAAAUCCCUGAAGUGCCACUCGUACAGUACGUUAAGUUCAAAUCCAAAGAUCCAUAUGGUUGAUCUGUCACUGAUGAAUGUAUACUUAGGGGUGAUAUAUAAUCAAGGUUCUACAGGUUUAGAAUUGACGAUUCCACUUUAACUUCUUUUUCCUCGAUGGGAUGUGAGCUUAAAGAAGAAUCAGUUAUUCGACUACCUUUUCAAUCUUAAUUAUAUACGACUCGUAUACAGGAGAUUAUGAUCGUUGAACCAUGUAUGAGUUCUAAUAUGAACUUUAGGACGGAGACUGCCUAAGACUACGAGUGAUCGUCCUGCCAUACAAAUAAACUUAGAAGCCCAACACAUGCCCUUUCUGUCGAUUGGUACAAGAGAGACAGAUACAACAAAAAUACCUAUCCUUUUUCCUUAAUUCGGGAGUAAUCAUACUUUCUUUUAGAUCUUCAUGACAUCUAAUCCACUUCCAAGAUUUUGACAUCAAAAUCAGUAUGAAUUGGUUGUAUUCUUAUGCAAGAGGAAAGGUCACUGCCUAUACCUCAAGACAGCUAAAGACACAAGAAGUUAACUAUACAACACAUGAUCUUGAGUCAGGAGCAGCAGAAAUUACUUUGAAGAUGAGGAGACACUACUUGUAGGGUACAAGAUGUACUACUCUCACAGUCCACAAAAACAUUCAACAUAUGUUCGACCAAGAAGAAUUAUCAUGCCAGUGAAGUCAAACGAAAGAAGCAAAGUCAUAUCCCGAUAGUGAAAGGUUCGUUGGACUGCCAAGCGAGGAACCGAGUUCAAUUAAGAACAUGAGGAGCAAAUAAAACUUCUAUCCGUAGCACGAACUCUAAUUUCGGGACGAAAUUCCCUCUAACGGGGGGAUGAUGUGACAACCCGAUAUUUCGAGACAAUAUGAUGGAACACAAGUCAAAUUUAUAUCAAAAUUUUACUUUCCUAAAAUCUUAUUUGGGUUAAAUAAAGUAGUGGGAAUCGUAUCAAUGUUUUCGUACAUAUAAAGAACCCUAAAAUCCGAGUUAUAACGAAGAAGUUAUGACCAAUCGAAGAUUCUCGGCAAAACCGGCAACACUGAUAGACGUAAAACGCGAAGUUUCAAUACAAUAAUGUUUAGCCUUAGGUAUCUAAAUGAAAGUUUUAGAUAUCAUUAAACUGUAAACGUACAUCAAAAGAACAUCCAAAUCUGACUUCGUAUGAGGAAGUUAUGAUUUUUGUAAGUUACGGAUAUAGAAGUAGACAGCUAAAAACACGAACUAGAGAUCGAGAGACUUUUAGCCGACACAAACUAAAUGAGAAUCGAAGGUCUCAACAAUAGAAGCGCAACGGUAAAAAGUCUGACGAAAACGAACGUCGGAUGAAAAAGUUAUGGAACUUUAACGGACUUUUCCUAUCCUGACGUAUUAAAAAUAUAAUAUUAAAAAUAAAGUCAAAAUUUGCCAACGGAGUCUAAACAAAACUUGUAGAUCGUAGUCUCAGCUUCGUGUGGAUAUUAAGAACAUCGAAAACGGAGUUCGUAUGACGAAGAUAUGAAUUUUAGAAGUUUGCUAAAUAAUAAAUAUAUAAAUUUAAAAUGAAUUCCGGUAUUAUCCGAAGGGGGAGUCACCGGCCUGAUCCGAGUUACGCCCAGCGUAACCGGGUGCUAGGCCUCGGUUCGGCCACGUCGCCCCUACUCCUCUAUGCCCUCCCAUCCGAAGUACGUAAGCGAUGACGUCUCGUACGCCCCGCGUACCGAGGUCUUUCAGCCCCUAUAUAAAUGGUGUGAGGCUGUCGGCCAUAUUUGCUAAUUUCCUACCUUUCUCGUGCCGAAGCUCUGCGUUUCAACCCUCGGAGUCAUCCCAAGGACCCGGUUUUCAUAUCCAGGUUUGGAAGGAAGUUUUACGCUCCCGAGAUUCCCGAGAAAUCCGCUUUCUCGAGUAGAAGUUCUGCUCGGUUUUCGUCUCGCUUUCUUCAAUCUAUCAAGUGAGUUCAUACCCCUACAACCACACUUUAAAUGCUUUUUAAACACUUUUAAGGGGGGAAUACAAGUAAACACACGACUAAAAUCGUGUGAAACAUCGAUCUUUUGCUAUACUUUUCAUACUGUUGUUUUAACUAUCUUAUGAAGUCAUUAUCAUGCAAAACACCUCACAACACAGCUUUACCCUCUUGGGAUACAAUAUGUUUUAUAAAUAGAAAUAAUGUUUUAUUUAUACGUUUACAUACAAAUACAUCAUAUCAAGGGUAACAUUCUUUAAUAAAUCAUUUUAUGCAUUCAAAGAACUUAUGAUUUAUGCUUUGUCAAACAUUGUGAAAAAGGAUAAACUUUGCAUACAAAACUACUACUUUAAUACAGACUUAGUUGAGAAUCCGUGAGACGUGUAUAUCUUCAAAUAAUACCUUUUUGCUAAAAGGUACCGCUACAAGUCCUGUCUAUAACCAGAGUCUCCCGUUCGGAGAACGUGUCAAAUGUGUAUAGAUCUAUACGGGAAGUCAUGAUCCCGCGCCCUGACUGUUAGCUACAGUCCGUCUUUUGGGGUGACAGUUGGCAUAACGCUACGACGCCUGAAGAACGUCGCUACAGGCAUAUUAUGUUUAGUAUGGUUAUAAAACUCAUCGGAUAUACAAUUAUUAUGGUAUUAUGCUUUUAUGAACGAGUAGCUAUUAAAACUAUUCUUCAUCUAACAAGUGCGAUCUUCGUAUAGCUUUAUUAUAUAAAACUAUGCCACACCUUUUAAGCACGUCGGUUGCUUGCGAUUUUCGGUCUUAGAGACUGCCAGUUAUGUUAGGAAAAUAAGGGUUUUUCCUGCAUCUAAAACAAACAACUAAUAGGAAAAUAAGGGAUUUUCUUGGUGCAAUUAUUUACAACUUAUAACACGAACAUUCAUAUGCAUUUCAUACUUUUAUAAGAAAAUAAGGGUUUUUCUUGGAAAACACAACAAAUCAUAUCUCAACUAUUAGGGAAAAUAUGGGAUUUUCUGGAUCUAAUACAUUCAUUUUCAACACAACGAAUCAUAACUCUUUACAUUUGAAAUACUGCGUUUUCUGGAAAACAUACACGAACUUUCGAAUGGCGUACAUUUUCUCAAAACACUACUUAUGAACUCACCAACUUAAUUGUUGACACUUUUUCUUUGAAAUAACUUGUAUUCUCAGGGAACCGCUAAGCAGGUUUGGAAAUCAACUUUUGGGGAUUAACGUGCUGACGUUAAUUACUUCUUUUGAAAGAUGUUUAUGUAUUUAUCUUUUGAACAUGUAACGAAUACAAUUAUGUAAACAUUUUGGAAACCUUAAUAUAUAUGGUGGUGUGUACUUUCCUUUCUAUGAACUGUUGUGAUACUGAAUAUGACGUCCUCCGCCCCCGAACGUUUCCGCCGUUCUGGUUUGGGGGUGUGACAGAUUGGUAUCAGAGCAUCGUUUAUAGUGAAUUAAGUAUAUCAAAACCAUUUUGGUAUACAACUACAAACACAACUGGGCAAAAACACUCUGAGUAAGAGUCAUACUUUUAAAAUUAAAUUUAUUUAAUUUUUGAAAAGUGGGCAUGCAUGCAUUUCAUAUUAAUAACAGGGUCAGUAUCAUAAUUAAAACAAUAUAGAAGUAUUAAAAAUAAGUUGUGCAGUGCAGGUAUGCCUUGGGACAUGUAAUCGGAACUGGGAAGAAUAUAGCCUGAUCAACUAUAUUUGUCCAAGAGCCGACUAACGUAUGCCAAGGAGUGUCUGCAAUGGACAACAAAUUUAUAACUUACCAAAAGCAUAUCGUUAAAGAAUACUAACGGAGUAUUCGAGUGCCUUCAACCAUUAAACUUAAGAGUAAAUUCCAUGUGCUUUAGCUUAUAGUC
rnacentral:lncRNA from 1 species